ACGCUGGCGGCAGGCCUAACACAUGCAAGUCGAGCGGUAGAGAGGAGCUUGCUCCUCUUGAGAGCGGCGGACGGGUGAGUAAUGCCUAGGAAUCUGCCUGGUAGUGGGGGAUAACGUUCGGAAACGGACGCUAAUACCGCAUACGUCCUACGGGAGAAAGCAGGGGACCUUCGGGCCUUGCGCUAUCAGAUGAGCCUAGGUCGGAUUAGCUAGUUGGUGAGGUAAUGGCUCACCAAGGCGACGAUCCGUAACUGGUCUGAGAGGAUGAUCAGUCACACUGAAACUGAGACACGGUCCAGACUCCUACGGGAGGCAGCAGUGGGGAAUAUUGGACAAUGGGCGAAAGCCUGAUCCAGCCAUGCCGCGUGUGUGAAGAAGGUCUUCGGAUUGUAAAGCACUUUAAGUUGGGAGGAAGGGCAGUAAAUUAAUACUUUGCUGUUUUGACGUUACCGACAGAAUAAGCACCGGCUAACUCUGUGCCAGCAGCCGCGGUAAUACAGAGGGUGCAAGCGUUAAUCGGAAUUACUGGGCGUAAAGCGCGCGUAGGUGGUUUGUUAAGUUGGAUGUGAAAUCCCCGGGCUCAACCUGGGAACUGCAUUCAAAACUGACUGACUAGAGUAUGGUAGAGGGUGGUGGAAUUUCCUGUGUAGCGGUGAAAUGCGUAGAUAUAGGAAGGAACACCAGUGGCGAAGGCGACCACCUGGACUGAUACUGACACUGAGGUGCGAAAGCGUGGGGAGCAAAC
rnacentral:rRNA from 1 species